CGAUACAGACUUACACAGAGAUUCUUGAUGAAUGAUGCAGUGAAGAAAAAUAACAUCCUGGUCAGCGUUUUCUUCUUUCACUUUAUCCUGGAUUCUCUUCAGCAGCCCGACUUUUUUUCCUGUUAAAUUUGGCGAUCCAUCCGUAGUGACACAGGCAAGUUUACUCCAAGGCAGCUUCAUUCUUUCGAUGAAAGCAGACACCUGUUCAUAUAAAGCCGCUCCUCGCGUUUUCCCCUUCAGCGAUUCCAUGCUCAAAAGCUCCUCCGUUAUUUCAAAACUGUCAUUAAUCCCUCGGAUAAAAAUUAGGAGCUGGGCAGUGUCUUUCAUGUCGUUGCUUUCAUCCAAUGCUAGUGGAUAUAAAUGAAAGGACUCCACCUUUUUAUUUAACUCGCUAACGAUAUCUUCGUCAAUCAGUUCGACACGGCGAGUCACUGUCCUGCGUGAUAAGCUGAUUUUUUUUAAACUUGUCUUUGCUUUCCAGACACAGAAGAUCUGCUGUCUCUACCAUGCAUUCUUUCAAAAACUUGCCUUCGGAGAAAGGCUUGCUAGCCUUUGCUAACUUGAAUGCCAGCAAAAAAACUUGCCUUGGUACUUGACUCUUGAAUCGCAAUUUGUCGGUGAAAAUAAUUGUGCUGAGUCUGUAAAUUAGCUGCCAACGUCUGAGCAGUAGCCGCCCGUUCUUGUGUUGAUUGCUUGCUCGCGUAGUUAGCAUGCUUUGAGGCAAAGUGACGGCUGAGAUUGUACUCUUUGAAAACUGCAACCGUUUCUUGGCAUAUCAGACAUACAGCCGUUGAUCGAACAUCAGUAAAAAAAAUAUUUUGUUGUCCACUCCUUUUGAAAAACUCGGCACUCAGCGUCCACUUUUCUUUUCUUUGGUCCGCUCAUUAUUACCGGAGGGGGGAAAUGGCAGCUGUAAUGCUACACUCCAACACUGUCAUUCCUUGAGGUCAGGGGCCGGGAACCUUUUUGGCGGACAGAGCCAUAAAUGCCCAUUUUUAAAAAAUAAUUUUUCACGAGAGCCAUACCAUUU